rnacentral:rRNA from 1 species
UACAGAGGCCCCAAGCGUUAUCCGGAAUCACUGGGCGUAAAGGGUGUGCAGGCGGCUUUGUUAGUCUCUUGUAAAAGCAUUUGGGCUUAACCCAGAUACUGCGAGGGAAACGGCAGAGCUUAGAGGGCGCGAGAGGUAGAGGGAACUCAUAGUGUAGGGGUGAAAUCCGUUGAUAUUAUGGGGAACACCAAAUGCGAAGGCACUCUACUGGCGCGUUCCUGACGCUCAGACACGAAAGCGUGGGAAUCGAACGGG